GGUCUCGUAGUGUGGUGGUUGACACGCCUGCGUGUCUGGAAGGCGUUAGCGGGUUCGAUUCCCGUCGAGACCGCCA
rnacentral:tRNA from 1 species